AGAGCGAACGCUGGCGGCAGGCUUAACACAUGCAAGUCGAACGGACCCUUCGGGGUUAGUGGCGGACGGGUGAGUAACACGUGGGAACGUACCCUUAGGUUCGGAACAACACAGGGAAACUUGUGCUAAUACCGGAUAAGCCCUUACGGGGAAAGAUUUAUCGCCUUUGGAGCGGCCCGCGUCUGAUUAGCUUGUUGGUGAGGUAAAGGCUCACCAAGGCUACGAUCAGUAGCUGGU
rnacentral:rRNA from 1 species